GGAUCAAGUGCCGCCUGAUAUGGCGUCUUUUUUUGCGAAUCGAAAUAUCUGAUGAUCAACUCCUUUACACGAGUGUUUUCGCACUUGUUUAGUAACACCGGUCCUAAUUAAAUAUUCAGGCAAAUAAAAUAACCAAAAAUUGCAUCACCCGUUCAUGAUGCCGCUGCUGCUUACAAGCAUAUUUUUGUCUAAAUUCUGGACCCGGAUCUAUACUAAUACUGCAGGAACAAAGUUGCAGGGCGGCAAUGAGGCCUAUGCCGCUAUUUCGGAGGUAGCUCUCAGAGAUAGGAGUGAAGUAAUGGCACUGGAAGAAGAAAGAUGCAGAAAAAUAUUUCACCAAAAAUUCUGACGC